UAAGGAAUAGUUCAAGGGAGUGUCUAUUCAGCACUUGACUGUUUUUCAAUUCGGUAACAUUCACAUUUCUUGACAAAUAAACACAGCACACUUGUAUGUCCAAAAAUAACCACCCAGCGACUAUAUGUUUUCUAUUUCUAAAAAACGGGCUGGGCUAAACUGUCACCCAGUUUCAACUAAACCUGGACCACAGGAUACUCUGGAAAUGAGUGAUCGCUAGCAGUGCCUAAACUUGGGAAAUUACAGAAACUUUGAAGUAUAUAAUGAAGAAAUACAGUGGCAAAAAUCAUAGAACCUACACUAUAAUCCUGAGGUAGCUGAAAAUUACACUUAAACUCAAUACUAGUGAAAGCAUGCAGAAAAAUACAAAAGAAUAUGCGCACCUGAUACCAUAGGAACAUUCAGAAAAAUGACAGGAACUCAUUUCCGGAGUAUAAUACUAAAACAAGGCUGCAAAGAGUAGAAAGAAGAAGAAAAUCAGAGCCUACAGACUGCGUAGACAAAGUAAAUGACACUGAAAAUUUACCAAGAAUUGCAGUGCAAAAGAGUCCAAGAACGCCUACAAAUUACAGUCCAAGAUUUACACUUUGCCAACUUACACUGCAACUGCCUAACAAUUACACUGCAAUAGUCCAAGACUUACAGUGUAAAUCCCCUGGAAAUUAUAGUCCACUGACACAGGAAUUGACACUGAAAACUACAAGAGAUUUAAACUUGCCAAAACUUGUCAGCUUACACGGUGAAGUACCUAGGAAUUACAGUGUAACUGCACAAAAAAUACCAUGGAAAUCGCCUAGAAUAUACAGUGUAAAUUAGACUGUAAAAAUGAACAUUUACAUUGUAAGAAUGUUGUUGAUCAGGAUUUACAGCGAAAUAACCCAGGAACUACACUGUAAAGUGCCCCUAUAUAUACAUUGUAACUUCCUGGACAAUGUAGAAACACAUGGGCUUACACUGAAAAAAAAAACAUAGAAUUACCAAAUGUCGCGGAACUUACAAGUACAAUGAUCAGUGAAAGUACAGAUCAAGUACAAUGAAAAUGCCCUGGAUUUACAGUGUAAGAACGGUGCAUAAAACUACUAAACUACAUAGCAAGUACACUGAAAAAGCAUAUGAACUUACAGUGUAAAUACAGACUAAAAAUGCAGAGUAACUACAGCGAUACUACCAUGAUAAAUACAGUGUAAAUCACCAAAAAAUCUAUGCUGGAAAUACCAAGGGAACUAAAAUACCCAUGAACUUUAAAAAUACACCGGAAAGACCACUAUCCUCCUAAUUCUCGACUUUUUAUACAGAUCCAGUAAAUUCACAGAUAAUUCUUUAAAAAAAUGUAGAUGGGGAGCAUGAGAAGAACAAUAACAAAAGACAAUCUACUGUCACUAUUACAAGAAGAUCUCAUUCAAAAUGUGAGUAUCACUAAAUGGCAAAAACACAGAAGAAAAUGUUGGGUACAUCAAAAUCAAAAUAGCUCACAGAAAAAAUACACUGUAGGAAUCGUUUUCUUUUACAGCACUCCUACAAUAAGACAUUAUGUACAAGGUCAGAAAAGCAACUUUGAAAUACAGUAGUGGUACCAAACCUCUUGAGAAAAAAGAGUGUUUUCUUAGUAUGCUAUUCCAACAAGAACUCCAGUUAACUUAACGUGGUGAUUGCAGGUACAUUCGGCAAAUGGGGCUACAUCAACAACACAAUCAAGAGUGGAGGACUCCAGUAACAAAACGCAUAACACCAACAACCCAACAAUUCAUUCUAGAGUAAGUGAAACUAUUGGUGAAAAACUCAUGACCUGGCAAAAAAUUGAGAAACAUACAUCUUGAGAACUCUGCUGCAGACAUUGGAAGAAAUGCAAAACGAAGCUACACCAAGCGAAGAAGGCGCAACAGAACUGAACCCCUGGAAAACAGACAUGUUUGCCCACAUGAAUUUGGAACAGGUGGGCACAUUAAUAAAAUUUCAGAAACAAGUACAUAUCAUACAAGUUGAAACUAGUAAGAAUAAUAAAUCGGAAACAAAAUGCUAAGUAUCCAGGAGACUGAAGAUGUUCACCCCAGUUCAGCAGCAACAAAAGCAAACUCAAACACUUGCCACAGCAAUGAAGAAAGAGAAAGGGGAGAAUCAGAGCACUCACACAAAUGCAAAUUCCGAAGAUGAUACUAAUGUAACGUCCUGGCGAGAGACUUUCCGAAGCUUACCCAUUAAACUAAAACCUAUAAAUUGCAGAGCUAAAGCAUGAGUAUUACACUAAAAAUUAGGGCGGAAAUUACACUAUAAAUACAGAAAUAAAAGCAAGGGGGCUUAGACUGUAAAUCUGGGAUAACACUACAUUAUUGGGAACAUUACACUGUAAAUACAUAGAAUAAGCAAGGCGUUUAAAACUAGGGUUACACUGGAAUUCUUGGGAAGAUUACACUGUAAACAGGACAUAGUUCAUAACUGCACCACAACGACACUCGAACAAUCAACAAGAAUGAAAGCCAAAAUUUCAGGAAUUACAUAACCGAAUCAUACAAAAUUACACUGUAAAAAAUGGGACACAUUAUAACUCUGGGAUAACAUGUAAGCAACAUGUGAAUUACACAGUAACUCUGGGGGUAAUUACAUUGAAACUCUGGGACAAAUUGCACAACAACUCUAAGGUAUAUUACACUGGAACUCUGGGGUAAUUACACAGUAACUCUAGGGUAAUCACAGUGUGUAAAACUCUAGGGUCAAGUACAUAAUAAGCAUGAGAAUUACACGGUAACUCUGGGGGGAAUUACACUGCAACUCAGGGAAAUUACACAGUAACUCUGGCCUAUAUUACACUGAAACUCUGGACAUAAUUACGCAGUAACUCUAGGAUAAUUACACUACAGAAACAUAAGUAAAAUACAGGCUCAAUACAAAUAGAGUUACACUGCAAAUCCUGGUUGGUUCAAUCAACCAGGAGCAUUAGAAAAAUGAAAGAAUAGAGGAAUUGAAGUGCAAAGCACAUAAAAGUACAGAGAAAAGCGCAUGAUUCAAUAGAAAAUCUAGAUAACCUACAUGAACUUCAGAAAACAAAUACUAGCAAAAGAACACAUAAAUUAUUGUGCUUACACUCUAAUACAUGAGCACUGAAAAAAAUACAUUGAUAAGAACCAACACUCACAAACUAGGGGUAAGUACAGGGCUAGAACACAGGGGGAAAUAGAAAAUAUAACCUGGAAAAUACACCAAAAACAGAGCUAACUGGAGGCUGGGGUAAGUCUGAUACACCCAGAGGCCAUUGAUAACACUCAGAAGUCAUGGAACCUGUGCACUGCAUGCAGUAGAGGCCACUGGUAACAACUAACUACAACUAAACCUACCAAAAUUCAUGUAUCUACAACAAAAAACCAACAGGAUCCAUGAACAUAAAGACCACCUGCCAGCGCAAGUCACCAAACUCUAACCACAAAAACACUCAUCUGAAACCCUGCAUCUAAUCCAUACAUCUACAUCUAACAAAAAAUCGAGACAACUACCAGCGCCUACACAAGAGUAGAUGGGGAACAAUGGAGGAUUACGCAUGCCAGGAAGCAGAGCCAACCGCUAAAACUACAAGCACCUACCACGAAUCUACAACAACACGGCGGCUACAAACACCAAUCACGAACCCACAAAGAAAUCACGGCAGCAAUUCACCUAGAUCUGGAAAGCCACACACCCAGAAACAAUCAAAAAUCAUGCGCGGGAGGGAGAAUGACGAGGCCGACCAACCGAAGACGUCAUGAAUCGAAGAGGAAGGGGAGAGAAAUCAAACUCGACAGGUGGGGGGAGGAGGGUCUCAGAAUCGACAUGAACAACACGAAUCGCCUGGUCUCCUCCUCCUCCGCUCGAGUGCCCCUU
rnacentral:lncRNA from 1 species